GACUUCCCUUGCAGCACAGGUGCCCGGAGGCUUUUCGGCCAAAGGGUGAAACGGGAAGCCGGUGCGCAGGCCAGAAUUCUUCCACGGCCUGCAAUGCCGGCGCUGCCCCCGCAACGGUAACUGGGGAAGGUGGAUCACACUGCCAUGGGGCAUCGGCUUUCGAAAAUCUAUACGCGCACCGGCGAUGACGGCAGCACCGGUCUGGGAGAUGGCACCCGGAUCGCGAAAACCGCGCCGCGGGUGGAGGCCAUGG
rfam:Gammaproteobacteria bacterium RIFCSPLOWO2_02_FTLL_61_13 rifcsplowo2_02_scaffold_13329, whole genome shotgun sequence.